CAGUCGCCGCGGUAAUACGUAGGUGGCAAGCGUUGUCCGGAAUUAUUGGGCGUAAAGGGCUCGCAGGCGGUUUCUUAAGUCUGAUGUGAAAGCCCCCGGCUCAACCGGGGAGGGUCAUUGGAAACUGGGAAACUUGAGUGCAGAAGAGGAGAGUGGAAUUCCACGUGUAGCGGUGAAAUGCGUAGAGAUGUGGAGGAACACCAGUGGCGAAGGCGACUCUCUGGUCUGUAACUGACGCUGAGGAGCGGAAGCGUGGGGAGCGAACAGGAUUAGAUACCCGUGUAGUCCCUGUCUCUUAUAC
rnacentral:rRNA from 1 species